rnacentral:lncRNA from 1 species
UACACCAUCAUGGCAGCUGGCUCAACAAGCAAACACACAGACUCGUCUCUCUCACUGCACAUUGCCUUUAUUAUUGCCCCAAGAUUCACCAACAGCGUGCAGGCGCAUCUCUCAUUCUUGUUUGCCCAAGAAACACCUUCUUGCCUGGCAAAUCACUUUCUGAAGUUCAUUGUUUUAUUGCUCUCUGUUUUUUUCCCGAGUCUUGUAACUUAUUCGCCCCGGGGUGCCACUCUGAUCAAGGUCGACUUGCCAACCGGAUGAUUCGACCGAGUCCAGGUCAAGGUCCAAGUCUGGAUCCCGGCAAAUCGGAUCUAGGUCCAAAUGACUCAGACCUAACCUGUCUGGGUCCGGGUCUGGGGUUGGACCGAUCUCGGGUCUAAUCUACGUUGACCCGACCCUAUAUUAUAUAUAUAUAUAAAUUAUAUAAAAGUAUUUAUUAAAAUACAAAAAUUAUUAUUAUUAUUUUAAUUUUUAGACACGGGUCUAAGUCACUUGGACCAAACUUAGGUCUGGGCCCAUGUGGAACCUUGUCAAGUCGGUUCCAGGUUAGGGCCAACCGGGACCCAACCGGCACCCACCCAAGAUUCAUCAAACACCCUCAUCUCUCAUUGGAAAAUUAUACAAUGUAACUAUUUACCUUUGGUACAAGAGGCUCAUAAAUAAUCUUGACCAGUUGAUGAAAAAUUGGGUAGUUAUAUUUAUUCCAUUGACCAAGCUCAAAAUUCAAAAAAUAUUUAUUUGAAAUUUGUGAAAUAACCAAGUUAUUAGAUUUCACAUUGGAUGGUCACAUGUAAUUUUGAUCUUCUUGUACCAAAAGUAAAUGACCUCAUUAUAUGCAAUCUCUUCAGAGUAGUACACUUUCAGAGCGUUUCCAAGGUCUAAAAAAUGCCGAUUUGAAUUGGGUGCCACUUUUUUAGAGUGGUGGGUUUUCAAGGUUUAAAAAAAUAUUGAUUUCGAUCGAAUCGCCUGAUCCGGUCCAGUACUAUGUAUAAUUAUUCUAAACACAAACCUAAAACUUGAAAAACCAAACUAUUUCUUAAAAUAUCUCCAUCCAAAACCUAAAAUCUCUCUACCUAAAUCUUCAUAUCUACCUUGUUCUCUCUAUUCAACUCCAUGCAGCUGUCUCCCCUUCUAUUACAUCGUGUUCUGAGAUCUCAAGAGAGUGAGCGAGAGACUCUUCAAUGACAGUGAAAUAAAGAAAACUUGCAUAAAUAAGAUAUAUUUUAAAAGAGAGGGAGAGAAGCAUUCAUAAAAAUUAGUAUAAGAAAAAACACAAAAGAUAACAUAAAAUUGGUAUAAAAAACACAAUUAGUAUCACAAAGUAGUAACAAAAAUAAAAUAAAAUUAGUAUCCAAAAUCACAAUUAGUACCAUGAAAAAAAAGUGUCGUAACCCGAUGUUGGUCCCACCUACGUAUGGUCCCAGGAGGGGUAAUAUGAAAACGAUCUUAACCUUUAGCUAUUUAUGUACAAAGUGGCAGCUCUCAAGAUUCAAACCCGCACUCUUUACGCUGGCUACCCGAGCUUUUUACUGUCACAUCAAGUGACGACCCCUAAUCAAUACCACGAAAUCAAUACUGAAAAUCACCCUCGCUUGUUUCUUCACUAAAAACACGAAAUGAGUAUAAAUAAUUUUUUUGUUAUCAAAUUUAGUAUAAAAAAUUAGCAUCAAAAUUAAUAUUAAUAAACACCCAGACAAGAAAAGGCAUCUCAAUAUUAAUGUAAUUUUGUAAAAUACUAAAGUCCAUAAAGCACUAUCCCUCUUUUUUAGUUUUGGAAACUCAAGAAAGAAUAUUUAAUAUUUUUUUAAAAUAUUUUAAGGCCAAAUCAGAUCAAUCUGGGCAAUCGACUGACCCGGACCACCAGGUCAAUUUCUAGGAUGGACGAUCCAGUCACAAAUCUAUAUUUUUAAACAGUGAUUUUUCUAUACAUCUUAUUAAGCUCAAAAUUGAGAUAUCCGCUCUUCUCACCAUCAUGUACUUAUAAAAGCAUAAAAAAAUAAUUAAAAAAUAAAUAAUCAAACAAACCCCUUAAUCUUGUUAGAGUAUACUUUAUUUUUUAUUUUAAAACUCUCUUUCUAUUUAUAUAAAAUAUAGAGGACUAUUUUUAAAUUUUAAAAAUAAAAUACAAUUUUUAUGUGAAUCAUUUUCAUUUUACAGGAAAAAAAAUGAACAUACAAAAGAAUAAUCUCCCAUUCUCUUCCAACACCUCUCUCUCUCUCUCCCUAGCUUUUUAUGAAUUUUUGACUCUAUAGAUAAGGACAUGGUUUUUAUGAGUCCAUCUAGAAAUGCGUCAACUCUUAAAAAUCAAAUUUUUUGAUGGAUUUUUUUACCCAAUUUUUAAGAACAUGUAGUCUCUAACAUGGAGCUAAUGAAUAUAACAAAAUAAAUAAAUUUUAAAAAAUAAAAAUAAUAAUUUUAUAAAAAAAUAUUUGAACAAUUAGCUUGAAUUUUUUCUAGAGGGGCUUCCUAUUUACAUCCAUUUUUAAAAUGGACACUUUUAUACUGGAGUAGGUUGGCAACAUUUGAUUGGGCCAGACAGCCAGCCCAAAGCGGGGCCCACAUUAGUAAGUAGACCUUGGGUUCAAAAUUUUGUCGUCCCAAAAAAGAGGUAGAAUAGUGCUCUGACUCUUUUGUCUUUCUCUUCUCUUUGGCUUUUCGCUCCUAUCCAACAAUUUAGGGUAAAUGAUUGGGGCUCUUUUGGGGUUCAUAUGGACUGUGGCUCCCUCAAGGGAAACAGAUUCCUGCCCUUUAAAUUUUUGAAUGAUUCCUACCGGCUGUCACUUGCUAGGACCAAUGUCCUUAUUAACUGAGUUUCUUCGGAUACUCCCUUCAAUAACCCCUUCAACAUUUAUUGGGUACCAGUGUAAAAAGCCACCACUUGGGGGCUCGGUCCCUACCUUAACUGAGUAACUUGGGCCGGGUCUAAGUUGCUUGGCCUGAGUUGAGCCGGGUCUUGGGGAAGCCCCAAAAGUGUAAAAAGUAAAAAAUACACAAAUUCCCGAAAAAGAGGAAAAAUAUGUUUGAAAUGAAAUUAAAUAAAACAUAUCCAAAUGAAGUUAAUAAAGUAAUAGAAAAAUAGAUUAAAAAAAAAACACUUUAGAAAUAAUUCAAAAAAAUAUUUAAAAAAUAAUCUAAAAAAAAAAUGUAAAAAUAAGUAUUCAUGAUCAAAACACUUCUCAAUUUUUGCAAAAAAUGGUAGAAAACAUAAAAAAACCUAUUAUAAAUAAAU